UACGAAGGGGGCUAGCGUGGUUCGGAUUUACUGGGCGUAAAGCGCACGUAGGCGGAUAUUUAAGUCAGGGGUGAAAUCCCGGGGCUCAACCCCGGAACUGCCUUUGAUACUGGGUAUCUUUGAGUCCGGAAGAGGUGAGUGGAAUUCCGAGUGUAGAGGUGAAAUUCGUAGAUAUUCGGAGGAACACCAGUGGCGAAGGCGGCUCACUGGUCCGGUACUGACGCUGAGGUGCGAAAGCGUGGGGAGCAAACAGG
rnacentral:rRNA from 1 species